CGAGUGAGGGUCCUCGUGGCCCAACCUCCCACCCGUGACUAUUGUACCUUUGUUGCUUCGGCGGGCCCGCCAGCCCCGUGCUGGCCGCCGGGGGGCCUUGUGCCCCCGGGUCCGCGCCCGCCGGAGACCCCAACAUGAACACUGUUUUGAAAGCCUGUAUGAAUCCGAUUUUUUGUAAUCAGUUAAAACUUUCAACAAUGGAUUUCUUGGUUCCGGCAUCGAUGAAGAACGCAGCGAAAUGCGAUAACUAAUGUGAAUUGCAGAAUUCAGUGAAUCAUCGAGUCUUUGAACGCACAUUGCGCCCCCUGGUAUUCCGGGGGGCAUGCCUGUCCGAGCGUCAUUGCUGCCCUCAAGCCCGGCUUGUGUGUUGGGUCCUCGUCCUCCCCUCGCGGGGGGACGGGCCCGAAAGGCAGCGGCGGCACCGCGUCCGGUCCUCGAGCGUAUGGGGCUUUGUCACCCGCUCUGUAGGCCCGGCCGGCGCCAGCCGACGCAAAUCACCUUUUUUUUCAGGUUGACCUCGGAUCAGGUAGGGAUACCCGCUGAACUUAAG
rnacentral:misc_RNA from 1 species